rnacentral:rRNA from 1 species
CUGGUCUUGACAUCCACGGAAGUUUUCAGAGAUGAGAAUGUGCCUUCGGGAACCGUGAGACAGGUGCUGCAUGGCUGUCGUCAGCUCGUGUUGUGAAAUGUUGGGUUAAGUCCCGCAACGAGCGCAACCCUUAUCCUUUGUUGCCAGCGGUCCGGCCGGGAACUCAAAGGAGACUGCCAGUGAUAAACUGGAGGAAGGUGGGGAUGACGUCAAGUCAUCAUGGCCCUUACGACCAGGGCUACACACGUGCUACAAUGGCGCAUACAAAGAGAAGCGACCUCGCGAGAGCAAGCGGACCUCAUAAAGUGCGUCGUAGUCCGGAUUGGAGUCUGCAACUCGACUCCAUGAAGUCGGAAUCGCUAGUAAUCGUGGAUCAGAAUGCCACGGUGAAUACGUUCCCGGGCCUUGUACACACCGCCCGUCACACCAUGGGAGUGGGUUGCAAAAGAAGUAGGUAGCUUAACCUUCGGGAGGGCGCUUACCACUUUGUGAUUCAUGACUGGGGUGAAGUCGUAACAAGGUAACCGUAGGGGAACCUGCGGUUGGAUCAC